GUAAAGGCGGAGUGAGGAAAAAUCAAUUUAAGGAGUUUUAAGCGAACGAGGUUGAGCAGUGAUGACGGCGGGCGGUGUUGAGCAUAGACGAUGAAGAUCCUUCGAUAGAAUAGUACUUGGAUGCGUCGUGUCUCCAUACACGAUGUCAUCUGCUCUUGACUCUUCCGCUGCAAUGUAAAAGUCGAGAUUUCAUUC